UUUCCGUAGGUGAACCUGCGGAAGGAUCAUUAUUGAAUGAAACACUUCUGGCUUUUUGCUGUUGUGCUGGCCCUUUGGGCAAUGUGCACACGGCUCUGGUCACUUGUUUCUUCUGUUCCACCUGUGCACUGCCUGUAGACACGCUGUGUCUAUGAUAUUUGUUAACACACAACAAUGUUAGUUGGCAUGUUAUAUAUAAUAAUAAAAUAUACAACUUUCAACAACGGAUCUCUUGGCUCUC
rnacentral:misc_RNA from 1 species